rnacentral:lncRNA from 1 species
CAGGGCCAGACGGAGAUGGACAACCAGUCAUCCUAAAGGAGAUCAGUCCUGAGUGUUCAUUGGAAGGACUGAUGCUGAAACUCCAGUACUUUGGCCACCUGAUGCGAAGAGCUGACUCAUCGGAAAAGACCCUGAUGCUGGGAAAGAUUGAGGGCAGGAGGAGAAGGGGACAAUAGAGGAUGAGAUGGUUGGAUGGCAUCAUCGACUCAAUGGACAUGAGUUUUAAGUAAACUCCGGGAGUUGGUGAUGGACAUGGAUGGAGGCCGGACACGACUGAGCGGCUGAACUGAACUGAGCUGGACUGACCCGGGCCGGCAGGCGUCGGGGCGGGGGCCGCGAGUGCGCCGCUCUUCGAAGAUCCUCCGUGGCGUCUUUCCCUGGGUUUCCGCCGUAUCUGUGAGGGGAGCUUGCGAGAUGGUGCAGUCAGUGACGACCCCAGGGACUCACAAAGCAGCAUCUGUCUCGCUCUGGCAACGUGUCACUGCAAGUUGGCCCGAGGCCCCUGCUGCUGAAGCCACGUGGGGACCAAGGGCUGUGUAGAAGUGAACACAGGAUGUUCACAUCUGUGAAGGCAACAGAAACGUCAUUCCAAAUUGCAAUGGAGACAGAGAGCAUCCGGUCGGGCGGAUUCUUUACCAAGCUGAGUCACCAGGGAAGCCGGAAGAAGGACCAGCUGGUCUGUUUAUCAGUGACAGAAGACAGGAGGAGGAGAGAACCGUUUCUGAGUGAGGCAAUCAAAUCUGUCUUGGUCGCUUCAUGGCCGGAAGGCCCUUGGAUAGCAAGCCUGGAGUGUGGGAAAUGCUGUCUCCUCACAGGAUGGAUGCCGUCAGGGCUCCUGCUUUUUACUUUGAUCUGACGUUGGAAACACUUCCGAGUGAGGCGAGAUACAAAGAGUGAGAAAAGAUACGCAGAUGCGUGGCAAAGAAGACGCGUGAGACAGUCUCUGUCUCUAAGGAGCCUGUAAUCAAGCAGAGGCAUGUAAGAGAGAAAUACACGAAAAAGAUACCUAAGAAUGACAAGCAGAGAAUUAGGGUAGUCAGUUCUUAAGC